UACGUAGGGGGCAAGCGUUGUCCGGAAUUAUUGGGCGUAAAGCGCGUGUAGGCGGCUCGAUAAGUCUGCUGUGAAAGUCCAAGGCUCAACCUUGGAAUGCCGGUGGAUACUGUCGAGCUCGAGUCCGGAAGAGGCGAGUGGAAUUCCUGGUGUAGCGGUGGAAUGCGCAGAUAUCAGGAGGAACACCAAUAGCGAAGGCAGCUCGCUGGGACGUUACUGACGCUAAGGCGCGAAAGCGUGGGGAGCAAACAGG
rnacentral:rRNA from 1 species